GUGGGGUAACGGCCUACCAAGGCGUCGACGGGUAGCUGGUCUGAGAGGACGGACAGCCACACUGGGACUGAGACACGGCCCAGACUCCUACGGGAGGCAGCAGUGGGGAAUAUUGCGCUAAUGCGCGAAAGCGUGACGCAGCGACGCCGCGUGGGGGAUGAAGGCCCUCGGGUCGUAAACCCCUUUCGCCAGGGACGAAGGGAAACUGACGGUACCUGGAGAAGAAGUCCCGGCUAACUACGUGCCAGCAGCCGCGGUAACACGUAGGGGACGAGCGUUGUCCGGAAUUAUUGGGCGUAAAGCGCGCGUAGGCGGUCGUGCAAGUCGGAUGUGAAAAUCCCGGGCUCAACCCGGGACCUGCACCCGAUACUGCUCGACUCGAGGUAGGUAGGGGAGAUCGGAAUUCCUGGUGUAGCGGUGAAAUGCGCAGAUAUCAGGAGGAACACCGGUGGCGAAGGCGGAUCUCUGGGCCUUACCUGACGCUGAGGCGCGAAAGCUAGGGGAGCGAACAGGAUUAGAUACCCUGGUAGUCCUAGCCGUAAACGUUGGGUGCUAGGUGUGGGUGGACAUCGACCCCAUCCGUGCCGAAGCUAACGCAUUAAGCA
rnacentral:rRNA from 1 species